rnacentral:rRNA from 1 species
UGCGUAGGGUGCAAGCGUUGCCCGGAUUUAUUGGGCGUAAAGGGCGCGUAGGCGGCUCGGCACGUCCGUUGUGAAAUCGCCCGGCUCAACUGGGCGGGGUCAGCGGAUACGGUCGAGCUUGAGCAAGCUAGGGGGCAAUGGAAUUCCCGGUGUAGUGGUGGAAUGCGUAGAUAUCGGGAGGAACACCCAUGGCGAAGGCAGCUCACUGGCCAUUAUCUGACGCUGAGGCGCGAAAGCGUGGGUAGCAAACAGG